rnacentral:rRNA from 1 species
UUUGUUCUAAUAAGUCAUAACGACUCUCGGCAACGGAUAUCUCGGCUCUCGCAUCGAUGAAGAACGUAGCGAAAUGCGAUACGUGGUGUGAAUUGCAGAAUUCCGUGAACCAUCGAGUUUUUGAACGCAAGUUGCGCCCGAAGCCAUUCGGCCGA